CCUGUGAGGCAGAGGACAGACAGCUGCUGAUGUCUGAUGCUGGCUGACAAUAAACAGACCUCUCUGGAUGUACCUCAUCUUUUGUAGAGUAAUUCUAACAUUGCCCUUCCUGUAACAUGAUGAUCCUGCUGUCCUGGAUGUAUAUGAUGAGCCUACACAGAAUCUCAGAACAGCAGUGGCAAUAAGAGGAGACCCAUUUGGUGAGAGCAGCACUGCAGACUUUC